rnacentral:pre_miRNA from 1 species
GCCCAGACAUGGGCACUUUUCUUUUUUUCUAAUCUGGAAAGUGCUUCAUUGUUUGGGUGA